ensembl:antisense Galnt6os UDP-N-acetyl-alpha-D-galactosamine:polypeptide N-acetylgalactosaminyltransferase 6, opposite strand
AAGCUGAAUACAAGCCUAGAGAACAUGCCAGUGUGCUCUGUCUCUCUAAGGCCUCUGCUCCAGGUUCCUGCCCUGACAUCUCUCCACAGUAGACUGUGAUGUAGAAAUGUGACAUCCACCUGCCAGUGUUUUAUCACAGUGGUAGAUGGCUAACUAAGGCAGGGGAGCAUUAGUCACCCCUCAGGGAGUGCCCUGUGCUGUGGGGUGUGGCAGAAGCGGUGCCUCUUCCCGCACUGGGCCUCAGGAAAGCGCAAUUAAAGGUAGAGGAGGCACCUGAGAGGGGACACAUUUCUGUCGGGCCUACCCGGGCCGAGCACUGUUUCCCUACCUGAUUGCCGCCGAGGUUGUGGCAGACAUACAUGAUGAGAGGCUUUCCUCCCCGGUUGUUCUCGCCCACGUCCAAACACUGAUUGGUGCCAAGAUUCUUGAUCUGCACAAAGCAAUUCGAGCCAGGAGGGGCUCCAGCCAGCCGUGGAAACACUCACCUGCAGACCCAGGCAAGAAGGUGAAGGGCCAGCUAAUCUGAGUACCAAGCCCCUACUAAAACACAAGAACAGGAUGGCCCCAGCCCCUCCUGGCACCGGGUGGGCGUGUCCUACUCACAGUGGGCGUCCAGGAACGUGAGCACCUCUGCCUGCGCCACGCUGGCCCCCAGCAGCCUGGCUGUGAUGAGCCCCUUCCGCUCCCGCUGCCGAACCACGCGCACGAUCUGCAGCUGCUGAACGUACUGCUCCAGCCUCUCCUUCAGGUGCUCUGGAAGGGACACGGCCACUGUGACCAGCACCUCACUAAUCCCCUGUGGGUAUUACCCCCAAGUACUCCCCAAAAACUGCCCACAGAAGGUGAGGGCAGAGAUGGAAAGACAGGCAGGUGGGAAACCCUGUCUGUGGCCAGGCCCCCUUGAGAACAGGCUUGCCAGCACCAACGUCUGUGGCCAUCUUCCCCCAUCCCCCACUCCUUGAGGUGUUGGGAAUUUAAGCCAGGGCCAAGUGCUCCACCACUAAGCUACACUGCCCCGCACAGGCCUAAUCUUUGACUUUAUGCCCUGUGUAUGGGACUCUUCAGGGAGAGUAAAACAAGCCAAGCAGAUUUAAAAUACUAAAAGAGACUGUGGGUAAUGUUCAGCGGUAGGCGCCUGCCUAGUGUGGGGGCUUCUUUUGGCCACAGUGGAUAGAGAUACAUUCCUAAGGACCCUGGGACUCCAUCUGAAAUCCUCAGGACACAGAACAUAGUUUUACUUCAAAGGACUCCAUUUGGAGCAUCCUCCAUCUUAUGUCUUAACUGUUAAGUUUGACGGUCCUGGAACCUGCUCUGUAGACCAGACUGGCCUCAGAUUCCCCCUGCCUCUGCCUCCCCCGUGCUGCAAUUAAAAAGACAUUGUAUCACUUC